rnacentral:rRNA from 1 species
GACGAACGCUGGCGGCGUGCUUAACACAUGCAAGUCGAGCGGUAAGGCCCUUUCGGGGGUACGACGAGCGGCGAACGGGUGAGUAACACGUGGGUGACCUGCCCUCCAGCUCUGGGAGUAAGCCUGGGAAACCGGGUCUAAUACUGGAUAUGACUCCAUGACGCAUGUUGUGGGGUGGAAAGCCUUGUGCGGCUGAGGAUGGGCCCGCGGCCUAUCAGCUUGUUGGU